rnacentral:lncRNA from 1 species
GGAUGUUUUUUCAUCAUCUCAGUCUUCAAAUGAAAAGCAAAUGUGGUUAUUGCAGGUAAUGUUACUGACUCAGGGAAUAGUCACUGUGGGAACUGAAGCCAAAACGGAGUCAUAGCACCCCCCCAUAAACCCUCCUGGCUAAUUUGCUCAUUGCUCCGGUCACAGCACAGCUGUGUGGGAAUUCUUGGCACCCAGGAGCACUCCAUUUUCAUUCCAUCUCAACAUUCAAGAGCAGAAAUCUUUUUAAGGCAGUCCUGCAGUACUCAUUUAGAGUUAAUAACCAAUCCUCCUGGGGCCUGGGGUUGUGGGGAGAGGGAGAAGGCAGUAUUUUAGUGGUGCAGCUGUAGUGCUGUAAAGAGCACAUAAAAAGAAUAAAUCUAUAACAUCACUUUUCCUUCUGCUGGAAAUAAAUAGCAAAACAUGCUACUUCUUUGGGCUGAGUAGCAAACAGCAUUAAAGAGUAGCACCACACUAUUUUUAUAUGCUGCUGGAGAGGGUGAUGGGUCUGAGAAGUCAGGAUUCAGGAGAAGUGCUGAGUGCUGAAGGCAAAAAGACAAAUGGAAACCUUCACCCUUAUUUUUUUUCUUUUGUAAAAAUAGCUAAAGCUUGAAAGUCCGCCUCUUGGAAGUGGCUUGUGAUUUCUUAAAAAAAAAAAAAGAACAUAAAAAAUAAUUUCUAGAUUCCUACAACAAAAGAGAGCUACACUAAGAAACUUGUAACUCAGUGCAACACUGGGACUAAAGAUAGCACCAAGAGAAUAUAUCCAACCCUUUUUAUCCAGCCUUUUCUUCAGGAAUCUUACAAGGAAAAAAACAUUCAUCAGCAAGAGUCAACCCUGACGAUAAAAUGCAGAAAUCAGUCUGAGUGUGCUGUGAGAGGCAGGUCUUUACCCCAAACGAGGAAAGGUGACUGUGGUGGUUUAUCAGAUGUGAUGUCGAUAUUGUCCAAGAGCUUGGAGUAAAGAACUGGAAAAAUGUGGUGUGGUAAGUGCAGUUCUUCAUGGGUUAGCACUGCUCUAAAAUCUGUCUUUCCC